rnacentral:rRNA from 1 species
GGUUAAGUGACUAAGCGUACACGGUGGAUGCCUUGGCAGUCAGAGGCGAUGAAGGACGUAUUAACUUGCGAUAAGCCCAGAUUAGGUAGUAAAAACCAUUUGAGUCUGGGAUUUCCGAAUGGGGAAACCCACUAGCAUAAGCUAGUAUCGCUGCGUGAAUACAUAGCGCAGCGAGGCGAACCGGGGGAACUGAAACAUCUAAGUACCCCGAGGAAAAGAAAUCAACCGAGAUUCCGAAAGUAGCGGCGAGCGAAAUUGGACUAGCCCUUAAGCUUUUUAUGCGUCAGGUGAAACUUCUGGAAAGUUGUGCGAUACAGGGUGAUAGCCCCGUAACCGGCAACGCAUAUAAAGUGAAAUCGAGUAGGGCGGGACACGUGAUAUCCUGUCUGAAUAUGGGGGGACCAUCCUCCAAGGCUAAAUACUACUGACUGACCGAUAGUGAACCAGUACCGUGAGGGAAAGGCGAAAAGAACCCCUGUGAGGGGAGUGAAAUAGAACCUGAAACCGUGUACGUACAAGCAGUAGGAGCACCUUCGUGGUGUGACUGCGUACCUUUUGUAUAAUGGGUCAGCGACUUAUAUUCAGUGGCAAGGUUAACCAUCUAGGGGAGCCGUAGGGAAACCGAGUCUUAACUGGGCGUUCAGUCUCUGGAUAUAGACCCGAAACCAGGUGAUCUAGCCAUGGGCAGGUUGAAGGUUGAGUAACAUCAACUGGAGGACCGAACCGACUAAUGUUGAAAAAUUAGCGGAUGACUUGUGGCUAGGGGUGAAAGGCCAAUCAAACCUGGAGAUAGCUGGUUCUCCCCGAAAGCUAUUUAGGUAGCGCCUCGGACGAAUACUACUGGGGGUAGAGCACUGUUAAGGCUAGGGGGUCAUCCCGACUUACCAACCCUUUGCAAACUCCGAAUACCAGUAAGUACUAUCCGGGAGACACACGGCGGGUGCUAACGUCCGUCGUGGAGAGGGAAACAACCCAGACCGCCAGCUAAGGUCCCAAAUUACUACUAAGUGGGAAACGAUGUGGGAAGGCUCAGACAGCCAGGAUGUUGGCUUAGAAGCAGCCAUCAUUUAAAGAAAGCGUAAUAGCUCACUGGUCGAGUCGGCCUGCGCGGAAGAUGUAACGGGGCUAAGUAGUAAACCGAAGCUGCGGCAAUGCACUUUAGUGCAUUGGGUAGGGGAGCGUUCUGUAAGCGGUUGAAGGUGUGUGGUAACGCAUGCUGGACGUAUCAGAAGUGCGAAUGCUGACAUGAGUAACGAUAAAGGGGGUGAAAAACCUCCUCGCCGGAAGACCAAGGGUUCCUGUCCAACGUUAAUCGGGGCAGGGUAAGUCGACCCCUAAGGCGAGGCCGAAAGGCGUAGUCGAUGGGAAACGGGUUAAUAUUCCCGUACUUCUUACAAUUGCGAUGGGGGGACGGAGAAGGCUAGGUGGGCCUGGCGACGGUUGUCCAGGUUCAAGUGCGUAGGCUUAAGAGUUAGGUAAAUCCGGCUCUUUUUAAGGCUGAGACACGACGUCGAGCUACUACGGUAGUGAAGUCAUUGAUGCCAUGCUUCCAGGAAAAGCCUCUAAGCUUCAGAUUGUAAGGAAUCGUACCCCAAACCGACACAGGUGGUCGGGUAGAGAAUACCAAGGCGCUUGAGAGAACUCGGGUGAAGGAACUAGGCAAAAUGGUACCGUAACUUCGGGAGAAGGUACGCUCUCGACGGUGAAGUCCCUCGCGGAUGGAGCUAUUGAGAGUCGCAGAUACCAGGUGGCUGCAACUGUUUAUUAAAAACACAGCACUGUGCAAAAUCGUAAGAUGACGUAUACGGUGUGACGCCUGCCCGGUGCCGGAAGGUUAAUUGAUGGGGUUAGACUUCGGUCGAAGCUCUUGAUCGAAGCCCCGGUAAACGGCGGCCGUAACUAUAACGGUCCUAAGGUAGCGAAAUUCCUUGUCGGGUAAGUUCCGACCUGCACGAAUGGCGUAAUGAUGGCCACGCUGUCUCCACCCGAGACUCAGUGAAAUUGAAAUCGCUGUGAAGAUGCAGUGUACCCGCGGCUAGACGGAAAGACCCCGUGAACCUUUACUACAGCUUGGCACUGAACAUUGACCCUACAUGUGUAGGAUAGGUGGGAGGCUUUGAAGCACAGUCGCUAGAUUGUGUGGAGCCGUCCUUGAAAUACCACCCUUGUAGUGUUGAUGUUCUAACGUUGACCCCUAAUCGGGGUUGCGGACAGUGCCUGGUGGGUAGUUUGACUGGGGCGGUCUCCUCCCAAAGCGUAACGGAGGAGCACGAAGGUGGGCUAAUCACGGUUGGACAUCGUGAGGUUAGUGCAAUGGCAUAAGCCCGCUUGACUGCGAGAAUGACGGUUCGAGCAGGUGCGAAAGCAGGUCAUAGUGAUCCGGUGGUUCUGAAUGGAAGGGCCAUCGCUCAACGGAUAAAAGGUACUCCGGGGAUAACAGGCUGAUACCGCCCAAGAGUUCAUAUCGACGGCGGUGUUUGGCACCUCGAUGUCGGCUCAUCACAUCCUGGGGCUGAAGUCGGUCCCAAGGGUAUGGCUGUUCGCCAUUUAAAGUGGUACGCGAGCUGGGUUUAGAACGUCGUGAGACAGUUCGGUCCCUAUCUGCCGUGGGCGUUGGAAGAUUGAAGGGGGCUGCUCCUAGUACGAGAGGACCGGAGUGGACGAACCUCUGGUGUUCGGGUUGUGUCGCCAGACGCAUUGCCCGGUAGCUAAGUUCGGAAUCGAUAACCGCUGAAAGCAUCUAAGCGGGAAGCGAGCCCUGAGAUGAGUCUUCCCUGAUACUUUAAGUAUCCUAAAGGGUUGUUCGAGACUAGAACGUUGAUAGGCAGGGUGUGUAAGCGUUGUGAGGCGUUGAGCUAACCUGUACUAAUUGCCCGUGAGGCUUAACCAU